CAGAGCCAGAGGAUGGAGAACUUGAAUGAACUUCCCAAGCAGCUGAACCGAGUCUUGCAACUAUUUAUCUCCAGACUCCUGUGUUAUGGGGCCAGUCUUUCUCUUCCUCUUUAUAAGAUGGCCAAGAAUAGUCAAGAACAAAUGGGCUGAGCAAAAUGCCAAGAGGAAAACAGAGAAGGGCUGAGCUGCAAAGAUCCUGAUCUUUCCCAAAUCCCCCAUUCAUUUGAUCUCUGCAGACAAUUGAAGCAAGAGACCAGAAGCGUCUAGGAAAAACAAGACAAAACAAAAACAUCUAUCUGUUUAAAAACAAGAGUAGAAGAGACAUUUCCUCCUAACAGUACCAUUUGCAAGUGCUGAAAAUUGUCCCUUUAAAUGUUAUGUUUCAAAUUCA